UGUGGUUCUGAGGAAUCGAACCCAGGGCCUCAUGCAUGCAAGGCCAGCGCUCUACCACUGAGCUACCUUCCCAACCCUACAGUGUGUUUUAGAAAUGUGAUGGAGAGAUACUGAUAACAUGGCGGCACUCACAAUGAGAUAAGACUGAUAUUAAAAAUUUUGCAAAGCCACAAAUACUGCCAGGUGACAGUCCCCAGCAAAGUGGGGAUGGGAAGGGGAAA